GUCCCUGUAGCGCAAUGGAAAGCGUGUUGGACUUCUAAUCCAAAGGUCGUGGAUUCGAAUCCCACCUAGGUUA
rnacentral:tRNA from 1 species